ensembl:lncRNA
UUUUUCAAAACUGAGAUGAAGACAGUUUAAUAGGACAGAAAAUGAAGGAAAAUAAUAAUAUUGAUAAAGGACUAUACAAAACAAGUGCUGCACAUUGCGGUUAAUUGCUCACCACUGCCUGACUGGUGCCCAGCCAGUCCCUCAGCAGCGGGCCGCUGGCCGCCUCAGCCAGUUUUCUUGUUCGGCAGAACAGCAUAUGGUAUGAAAUAUCCCUUGGGUCAGUCGGGGUCAGUUGUCUCGGCUGUGUCCCCUCCCAACUUCUUGUGCACCCCCAGCCUGCUCGCUGAUGCUGUCGUGUGAGAAGCUGAAAAUUCCUUGAUCAGGGUAAGUAAGCCCUGCUCAGCAACAACUAAAACAUCUGUGUGUUGUCAACCUUAUUCUCAUCCUAAAUCCAAACACAGCACUAUGCCAGCUGCUAGGAAGAAAACUAACUCUGUCCCAGCUGAAACCAGGACACUACUUCAUAAAAAUGUAAGACCACCUGUAGUGAAACAGUAACACCCAGAUUGGUGGAGACAUGAGAAAGGAUAUACAUCCAUGAAAGCAGUUUAUGAGGCCUUACUUUGCUUUAUGAUGUGUUAGCAAGACUAGUCAGUCAUAUGUUUGCAUUUUAGACACAGUAAACAGGAAAAUUUUGAAGUGUUGAGACUAAGGUGGUUCUGGCUAACUAGAUUUUCAUUCAGUCCACUUCCAGUAUCUGCAGUCUUUUUUCUCUUCCAUUUUUAACUAAGGGUAAUGAGAUGCAGGCUGUGUUGUUCUUAGGGAACUCCACAUGUAUGUCCUAAUUGAAUCAAAGAAAUUGGCAAUAAUAAUAAAAAUAUUAUAUCUGUAUUAUAUUGGCUCAGCAAAAUCCUCUGUAAUUGUGGUUAAUGAGUUUUUGCUGUAAUAUUUGUGCAAUUCUAUUAAGAUAUAAUACUUUGGUUUUUGUACAAGAAAUCUAAAAAUUGGGUCAAGAGAAAGGGGUUCUAACAGAUAAUUAUUUGUCCAAUUAGCAGCAUAUAGAAAGCUAGCCUCAAUAGCAGGGGGAGUAUAUAUUUUGCUUAUCAUUGAGAAAUACUACUCAGAGUUUAGUCUUAUAAUAAAGUACCAUUGAGUCAUGUGUAAGUAAGAACAGGAAAUAUGAAAAGGCAAUAUUUGCUGAAGUACUUAAAAUUCAGCUGUUAAAACAGGAAUUUUAACUUAUAAUUUCUUAAUAAUAUUUUAGAGUUAAGUAGUGUUUUGGACUUACAGGUGUUUAAAUUUCCUAAGUGUGGUUAAUUUAUAAUGAUAGGUCUGGUUAAGAAGUGAAUUCCACUAUGCUUACACAAUCUUUUAAAGCCUUUAAGCUAUAAUGGAAUUUUUCACACAAAACGUUUGCAACAGAAGACACUGAAAACAUCUGUCUGCGUGAAAGUGUUGUUCUUUGUCUGGUAAAAUUAUAACUUGAUGUACAUCUGAUCCUUUAGUCAUUCUGCAGACAAAUGCCCCAUUGACCUGAACAGUACAUGACUAAGCCUUGUGCCAGAACUGUAAAGAGAAUGAGAUAUGGCAUAUUCUACAGACCUGAGUCAUCAUUUUGCUCAUUAUUGUCAUAGAGCUAAAUACAGAAUCUUCUCUAGAGCCCUUGGUUCAAAUAAUAUUAAAUACCACAUGGCACACACAACUACAGGAAGUUUAUUCAACUGUAUAGAAAUAAAUGUGGCCAUAGCUACCACACAUUCAAUUACAUUGAAUAAUUAUUCUAAUUCAUUGAAGCUCUUGGGUUAGUCGAAGGAUCUAAGUUUUCUUCC